UACGUAGGUGGCAAGCGUUGUCCGGAUUUAUUGGGCGUAAAGAGCGUGUAGGCGGCCAGAUAGGUCCGUUGUGAAAACUCGAGGCUCAACCUCGAGACGCCGAUGGAAACCAUCUGGCUAGAGUCCGGAAGAGGAGAGUGGAAUUCCUGGUGUAGCGGUGAAAUGCGCAGAUAUCAGGAAGAACACCCGUGGCUAAGGCGGCUCUCUAGUACGGUACUGACGCUGAGACGCGAAAGCGUGGGGAGCGAACAGG
rnacentral:rRNA from 1 species